rnacentral:tRNA from 1 species
UAUAGCCGAGUUGGUAAGGGGUUCGAACCCUAAAUCGAAAGAUCGCAGGUUCGAAUCCCG